rnacentral:rRNA from 1 species
AACGAACGCUGGCGGCAGGCUUAACACAUGCAAGUCGAACGCCCCGCAAGGGGAGUGGCAGACGGGUGAGUAACACGUGGGGAUCUGCCCAAUGGUACGGAAUAAUUCCGGGAAACUGGGACUAAUACCGUAUGUGCCCGCAAGGGGAAAGAUUUAUCGCCAUUGGAUGAACCCGCGUCGGAUUAGCUAGUUGGUGAGGUAAAGGCUCACCAAGGCGACGAUCCGUAGCUGGUCUGAGAGGAUGAUCAGCCACACUGGGACUGAGACACGGCCCAGACUCCUACGGGAGGCAGCAGUGGGGAAUAUUGGACAAUGGGCGCAAGCCUGAUCCAGCCAUGCCGCGUGAGUGAUGAAGGCCUUAGGGUUGUAAAGCUCUUUCGCCGACGAAGAUAAUGACGGUAGUCGGAGAAGAAGCCCCGGCUAACUUCGUGCCAGCCGCCGCAGUAACAC